rnacentral:rRNA from 1 species
AGGUAAGCUACUAAGAGCGAAUGGUGGAUGCCUUGACUGGUAAAGGCGAUGAAGGACGUACUAGACUGCGAUAAGCUACGGGGAGCUGUCAAGAAGCUUUGAUCCGUAGAUUUCCGAAUGGGGCAACCCAAUGUAUAGAGAUAUACAUUACCUAUAUAGGAGCGAACGAGGGGAAUUGAAACAUCUUAGUACCCUCAGGAAAAGAAAUCAAUAGAGAUUGCGUCAGUAGCGGCGAGCGAAAGCGCAAGAGGGCAAACCCAGUGCUUGCACUGGGGGUUGUAGGACUGCAAUGUGCAAGAGGUGAGUUUAGCAGAACAUUCUGGAAAGUAUAGCCAUAGAGGGUGAUAGUCCCGUAUGCGAAAAACAAACCUUAGCUAGCAGUAUCCUGAGUAGGGCGGGACACGAGAAAUCCUGUCUGAAGCUGGGUCGACCACGAUCCAACCCUAAAUACUAAUACCAGAUCGAUAGUGCACAAGUACCGUGAGGGAAAGGUGAAAAGAACUGAGGUGAUCAGAGUGAAAUAGAACCUGAAACCAUUUGCUUACAAUCAUUCAGAGCCCUAUGUAGCAAUACAGGGUGAUGGACUGCCUUUUGCAUAAUGAGCCUGCGAGUUGUGGUGUCUGGCAAGGUUAAGCAAACGCGAAGCCGUAGCGAAAGCGAGUCUGAAUAGGGCGCUUAGUCAGAUGCUGCAGACCCGAAACGAAGUGAUCUAUCCAUGAGCAAGUUGAAGCUAGUGUAAGAACUAGUGGAGGACUGAACCCAUAGGCGUUGAAAAGCCCCGGGAUGACUUGUGGAUAGGGGUGAAAGGCCAAUCAAACUUCGUGAUAGCUGGUUCUCUCCGAAAUAUAUUUAGGUAUAGCGUUGUGUCGUAAUAUAAGGGGGUAGAGCACUGAAUGGGCUAGGGCAUACACCAAUGUACCAAACCCUAUCAAACUCCGAAUACCUUAUAUGUAAUCACAGCAGUCAGGCGGCGAGUGAUAAAAUCCGUCGUCAAGAGGGAAACAACCCAGACUACCAGCUAAGGUCCCUAAAUCUUACUUAAGUGGAAAACGAUGUGAAGUUACUUAAACAACCAGGAGGUUGGCUUAGAAGCAGCCAUCCUUUAAAGAAAGCGUAAUAGCUCACUGGUCUAGUGAUUUUGCGCGGAAAAUAUAACGGGGCUAAAGUAAGUACCGAAGCUGUAGACUUGCGCACAACUUAGAUUAUUUAAGUUUAGAAUAUGAGAAACUAAGUUAUAUGUUUAGUUAUAUUUUUACUGAUUUUUAUAGAGUAAAGAUAGAAAUAAAACUUAGUAAAAUCAGUAAAAAUAUUCUUAGACUAAAGUUAAGUAGUUUAAGUUGUGUGCAAGUGGUAGGAGAGCGUUCUAUUUGCGUCGAAGGUAUACCGGUAAGGAGUGCUGGAGCGAAUAGAAGUGAGCAUGCAGGCAUGAGUAG